UGUGGCCUAUGUGAUAGCAUUAAUCACGAACGGUCCAUGAGGAGAACUCUAAGCAAUGGAAGUAUUUGUACGAGUUGCACUCGCAUACAUACACAUAUAGGUAGGGUGUAAACACUAGGACACAUUGGGACAAAGUUUGUGAGGGCGGUGGGUGGUGAGGGGUAAUGUGAUGUCCCUUGGUGAGGUUGCCAGGGUGCUGGUUGGUAGCUGCUAAAGAGAAUAGGGAAGGGAUGGAGUGUAGUGUCUCCUAGCUGACAGGACAAGGAGCACUGAGAGCUCAGUGGAAAAGCAUGCAUAUGAACAAUGGUAUGCAAAAAUUAGGUAUCAGAUCAGAAAAUGGUUAUUUCAGCAACAUAAUCUUUUGGAUAGGAAAAGGAUAUAUGUGUAGCUAGAGGUACCUUUUCUUAGCAAAAAUGAGGGUCCGGCUUUAUUUCUCAAGCACAAUCAAUUGUGACUGCACAGUUGGUUGAAAAAAAUGAUCAGCGAUCAAUAUCUUGG
rnacentral:lncRNA from 1 species